CAGGGCCUGUCCUUGGAAACACAGGGGCUCAGGCCCACCCCGGAAAUGGCUUCCCAUUUGAGGGGAGCCAGAGAAGGCCCCACUCCUCCAAGGACCAGCAGGCAGUCGGGAAACUCCCAGGAAGGGAGAUAAGAAGAUCACAUGGAGGGGGGCCCAGGCAGCGGCCAGGUGUGAGGAGGACCCUGUGCUCACAGUCGGCCCUCAGUCCUGUUGGGGGGCGAUCGCUCCUGCCGUCCUCCCUGCCUCCGCCACUAUGGACCCUGAAUUGAGAGCUGAGGCAGGCAGCAGACAGGGACCAUGGCCCACCAGGCUCCUCUGUCCAUGGAAUUCUCCAGGCAA